GUUACAUAUCAUAGGGAUUAUAUAAACUGUUGGAUCAAUGUAAGUGUUCCUAUUCAUCAAACAAAGUGCAUGUACAUAAAAUUUUUCUUUUUUAAAGUUUAAACAUCUACAAGACGAGUUUUCAUUUUUUUUUAGGUGAGCGAAUAGUUACAACUUUACUUUAACAGUUAAUAAUUACUCUAUAUUUCUCGAACUAAUCCAUACUUAGGUUAUGUCAAAUCUUGAGAAAUCUAGGAGUAUAGGAUCUACAAAUAGCUUCGUUUCUAAGGCUUUUAUUUUAUAGUUU
rnacentral:lncRNA from 1 species